AGAGACACGAUUACGAAAGUUUCUGAGAGCAUUCAGCCCGGGUUGGAGGAAGAGAGUGCCAGGAUGGAGACAGGACAAUGGAGACACAAAAUGUGACCCAUUCCUGCCGCUGCAUCUGGGAGAUGACGGUGGAGAUGUCCCUGAAUUUACUUCCCAAAAACAUCACAGGAAGAAGCGGAGGAACCACAUGUUAGAUUUGCUAAAGCAGGAGGCAGCAGCUCGAGCCCGGUGUCUGAACUGGAACCAAAGCAGCCCACAGAGUGGCCUACCAAGGAGGCGGGCUUGAAGGUCUGAGUAACUGGAGCAGAAGCACUGUGGAACAUUCUACAACAUUCUCUCCAAUCUGUGGUGCUUCCCAGGGGACCACCAUCUCAACCCAGUCCACUCUGCCUUGAGAGCCCACAGAGCAAGCUUUUUCCCUUGGCUGACACCAUCCUCCCCAUGGC